rnacentral:rRNA from 1 species
CCUACGGGUGGCAGCAGUGGGGAAUAUUGGGCAAUGGGCGCAAGCCUGACCCAGCAACGCCGCGUGAAGGAUGAAGGUUUUCGGAUUGUAAACUUCUGUCGCGAGGGACGAAGAAUGACGGUACCUCGUAAGAAAGCCCCGGCUAACUACGUGCCAGCAGCCGCGGUAAUACGUAGGAUGCGAGCGUUAUCCGGAUUUAUUGGGUUUAAAGGGUGCGCAGGCGGAGGUGCAAGUCAGCGGUCAAAUUGCGGGGCUCAACCCCGUACUGCCGUUGAAACUGCAUCCCUUGAGUGCGCGAGAAGUAUGCGGAAUGCGUGGUGUAGCGGUGAAAUGCAUAGAUAUCACGCAGAACUCCGAUUGCGAAGGCAGCAUACCGGCGCGCAACUGACGCUCAUGCACGAAAGCGUGGGUAUCGAACAGGAUUAGAUACCCCGGUAGUC